rnacentral:rRNA from 1 species
GGGGUCGGAUGUCGAUUUGGAGGUUGUGCCCUUGAGGCGUGGCUUCCGGAGCUAACGCGUUAAAUCGACCGCCUGGGGAGUACGGCCGCAAGGUUAAAACUCAAAUGAAUUGACGGGGGCCCGCACAAGCGGUGGAGCAUGUGGUUUAAUUCGAUGCAACGCGAAGAACCUUACCUGGUCUUGACAUCCACAGAACUUUCCAGAGAUGGAUUGGUGCCUUCGGGAACUGUGAGACAGGUGCUGCAUGGCUGUCGUCAGCUCGUGUUGUGAAAUGUUGGGUUAAGUCCCGCAACGAGCGCAACCCUUAUCCUUUGUUGCCAGCGGUUAGGCCGGGAACUCAAAGGAGACUGCCAGUGAUAAACUGGAGGAAGGUGGGGAUGACGUCAAGUCAUCAUGGCCCUUACGACCAGGGCUACACACGUGCUACAAUGGCAUAUACAAAGAGAAGCGACCUCGCGAGAGCAAGCGGACCUCAUAAAGUAUGUCGUAGUCCGGAUUGGAGUCUGCAACUCGACUCCAUGAAGUCGGAAUCGCUAGUAAUCGUAGAUCAGAAUGCUACGGUGAAUACGUUCCCGGGCCUUGUACACACCGCCCGUCACACCAUGGGAGUGGGUUGCAAAAGAAGUAGGUAGCUUAACCUUCGGGAGGGCGCUUACCACUUUGUGAUUCAUGACUGGGGUGAAGUCGUAACAGGGGGAAACCCGGUAAAAC